CUUGUACUGAUACAGUCAAGACUUUUAUUUUUUUUUUAAAUCACAGGACCGUUUCCAGCCACUGAGGAACAAAAUGCUGUGUAAAAUCACGUCAAAUAAAUAUAUGCAAUUAUACAAAUGGGUUGGUGUCAUGGUGACGUAAUGCAGGUCAGCUGCAUGAUCAGCUGCAGGAGAAAAGGAAGGAAGGAAGUGCUGUUGAGCAACGAGAGCGAGACUGAAAAUCAUCAGAAAGUCAUUUCCUUUAUGUAUAAAUAACAACCAACAACAUUCAGCUGUAAAACAACUAGAAAUGAAGAAGAAUAUCCAGAACAUGACCUGUAUCAUGGAACACUGCGAAGUCCAUCAUCAACACCUGAAGAAAAUGGAGAACAGCAGUGACAUCAUAAAGAACAGGACGUUCCUCCAAAACUGACCAAAAGACAUGAAGAAAAGUUUCCAGGGAGGCUGCUGAGGGAUCUACAGCAACAUUAAGGAAUGUCUUAAUAAGGAACAUUAAGGAAUUAACUCUCUGAGAUACGACAAGGAAACGAAGCCGUCCAAGCUCUGCUAAAUCACCUCAAAAGGAAAACGAAGGGAAGAACUUCAGCUUCAACAAGACAGCUGAUCUUCCAAAGUAUAGCACAGGUGGUAUCAUCACUCCAUGAAGCAGCUUCACUUCAGCUGGCUCUGGAGCUCUUUCAGGAUAGAGAGAACGGCUGAUAUCUCCACACACUAAUCGGUUUCAUCAUCCAGCACGUUAAUGAGCCAAGGCAAAAUCACAAGCAAUAAAAUGAACAGUCCAAUCAAAUACCAGAGCUAAAUCUGUCUAGAAUCCUGUGGAAUAUCUCACAAAGGGACGUUUGCAGAAGAUCCACUUGCUAUCUGAUAGAGCUGAAGUGCUUUUCUGAAGAAGACAGGAUUGAAAUGACUAAAUGAAGAUAUGCUAAUUGAAGUCAGGUGACUUUUACCCAAUACUGUAUUAUGUAAGGGGUGCCAAUACUUAUGCAAUCGCAUCAUUCCAUGUUUAUUCUUUUUUUCUCUUUUUCCCCUAAACAUUUUACUUGGUUUUAAUUUGACAUUAAAAAUGGAAAAAGA